rnacentral:rRNA from 1 species
AAUAUUGGACAAUGGGGGCAACCCUGAUCCAGCCAUGCCGCGUGUGUGAAGAAUGUCUUCUGAUAGUAAAGCACGUUUAGUUGGGAGGAAGGGCUUUAGGCUAAUACCCUGAAGUUUUGACGUUACCAACAGUAUAAGCACCGACCAACUCUGGUCCAGCACCCGCGGUAAUACAGAGGGUGCAAGCGUUAAUCGGAAUUACUGGGCGUAAAGCGCGCGUAGGUGGUUCAGUAAGAUGGGUGUGAAAUCCCCGGGCUUAACCUGGGAACUGCUUUCAUAACUGCUGAGCUAGAGUACGGUAGAGGGUAGUGGAAUUUCCUGUGUAGCGGUGAAAUGCGUAGAUAUAGGAAGGAACACCAGUGGCGAAGGCGACUACCUGGACUGAUACUGACACUGAGGUGCGAAAGCGUGGGGAGCAAAC